AGGAAGAGGCGGAGCGGCAGUAGGAACACGGAGGAAAAGAGGAGGUGAGGGAUCCGCACGGCUCUGGUGUCGCCUGAGCUCGCGGCCCCCCCGGGAUCAUCGCUCGCCAUCCCGCAGACAAGGAGCUGAAGAUGGAGACCGGGGAGGACAAAUCCCCGCAGCAGAACCUCGUGGAAGAGGCCAUUUUGAGUGGCUCCAUGGCGCAGGAAUCCGAGGGGGAGGAAAAGCCCCGGAGAUCCCGCAGGAGGAAGGGCUCCAACCCCAGCCCGGGGUGCUCUGAGGAGGAAAGACCCACCCUGUGCUGGGAAGGUGGCCGGAGCUCCAGUCUGGUGGUCCACGAGCAGCUUCGGGAUGGGGAGAAGCCUCACAAGUGUUUGGAAUGUGGGAAGAGCUUCAGGCGGAACUUCCACCUGAUCCGCCACCAGAUGAUCCACACCGGGGAGAAGCCCUGUGGGUGUCCUGAGUGUGGGAAGAGCUUCAGAGACAGCUCCCACCUGAUCCGCCACCAGAUGAUCCACACUGGGCAUUGGCCCUAUGAGUGUGUGGAAUGCGGCAAGGGCUUAAGAGACAGCUCCCACCUGAUCCGCCACCAGAGGAUCCACACUGGGGAGAGGCCCUUUGAGUGUGGUGAAUGUGGGAAGAGCUUCAGGCAGAGCUCCUACCUGAUCCGCCACCAGAGGAUCCACACUGGGGAGAGACCCUUUCAGUGUGGUGAAUGUGGGAAGAGCUUCAUCCAGAGCUCCAGCCUGAUUGUCCACGAGAGGAUCCACACUGGGAAGAGGCCCUAUGAGUGCUUGGAAUGUGGGAAGAGCUUCAGCCAGAGCUCUCACCUGACCUCCCACCAGAAGAUCCACACUGGGGAGCGGCCCUACGAGUGUCCCGAGUGUGGGAAGAGGUUUCACACCAGCUCAGAUCUCCUCAUACAUGAACGGAUUCACACGGAUGAGAGGCCCUUCCGCUGCCCCGACUGCAGGAAGGGCUUCAAGCACAACUCCAACCUCACCGCCCACCGGCGCAUCCACACCGGGGAGAGGCCCUACGAGUGUCCCCGGUGUGGGAAGAGCUUCUCCUGGAGCUCAUCCUUGACCCAUCACCAACGGAGCCACCGGUAAGGGAAGCAUUGGGAAUGCCCUGACUACAGGAAGAGCUUUGUGUGCUGCUCCAACUCCAUCUCCUAUUGGAGGACCUACGUUGGGCAGAGCCCUGGUGGCCCACAUUCCCGGUGACCCGCAUUGGGAAGACACCCGGCCAGUGGUUUCCAUUUUCUCCUGGUUUCCCAGAGGCACUCGGAUGAACGCGAGGGCAUGAACCUCCUUCAGCAGUCAAAUCAACAUUAGAAAUUCAUUAAGAUCUGAUUUCUUAGCUUUACACCAUAAAAAGAUCUUGUGUGCUCUGUCCAAUUGUUUCUUCUGGUGGCAUCAAGCAGUGCUGGAUGAUCUUGGAGAUGUUUUCCUACCUGAAUAAUUUCCAUCUUUAUCGCAUCGAAAUGUCCAGAACCGGGCAAUCUGGUUAAUCUAUGCAGUUCUGAAAGGAGAAAUAAAGAAAAGAGUAUCCUGGAACCAGAAGAUAAUAAAGGCACUGACACGGGACAGAGAUCCACAUCUGCAUUUAUCAUCUCCAAGUCCUCCAAAGUGUAACAACGCUUACGAUAACUGUGGAUUCAAAGAUGAACAUCGAGUAUAAACUCAGAAGAACAGGACUGUAUACAGUGAAAGCAUUACACUUACGAUAGUAAAGUGAAAUACUUUCAAAGGGGGGAAAUACGUUACUAUGGGGUUAGAUGUUUCUGAAAGUGUUUCUUAAAAUUGCGUAGAAGUAGGCCACGAGAAUGCUUGGUAUUAGGGAUGGUCUAGCAAGCUGAAAUGUUUACGGUAACGGGAACUGGUAUUUGGGGUCUCAAAGAUACCCACCCAGAGAUAAGGUUCAUACAUGUUCGUACAAGGAUGAGCUAACUCUCGUGAAGCAAUAUCGAUAAAGUUAAUGAAGCAAUAUUGAUAAGGUUGUUAUAGUGAUUACUGCUACAGCUGAAAUUGUAUAAAUAUGUGCAUUUUGGACAAAGACAAUGGAGCUAGAUUUGGGUCGCAGGUAACCCUAGUUUCUGCGCGCUUCAAUAAAGCACCUACAUACGAUCAAUCUGUGAUUAUGUGUGUUCCUGAACGCUAACGCUGAGAGGAAUAGAGGUGGGCAACCAAUGGGAUCUGUGUGAGUUCCUGUGUAGAAAUGCUUUUUCACCAAAUUAUCCUUAAAUAACAUUAUCUUAAAUCAUUUCCAUUGGGUGGGUGCAACUGGGAGUGCUCAAAGCCCUGGAAAGCUGACCCAUUGAUUACUGGGGAAAAGGAAGAGGAGGAAGUGUCGGUUUUACAAACCGGUUGUGCGGCUGUAUUUUGAAACAUGAUAUUCUGGUAUUGUAAAACUGGAUUAUUUUGUAACUCUGCGUUCUAGUAUUUUGAAACUGGGUUACUUUGGUAUUAUACCACACGUAAUAAAUGGAAUUGAUUUGUGAUACCUAAAUUGUAACUGUUAUUAAAGUUGUUAUUGGAAGCAAUCAAAAGACGGGGCAGAUGCACCCCUUUACAGAUGUUGCAUGUUGGGAUUGAGGUACAGGAUGUAGUUUGGAGGAUGGGUGAUGUCCCAGGACGAGGGUGGCCUUGGGAUGGACAAGGUUGGAGCGACUUUAGGCAUUGGGCAUAAAGAUCAGUAAAUGUGGGACCGAUCGGUGGACUUACAUAACACAACGCUUAGUACGCACGCGCAAACCUGUAAGGUUAUCCGAAGGACGACGAGGAAGAGGAGAAGCCUUCGCCAAAAGACCACCGAUAGAAGAUUGAAGACCCCCUAACAACAAGUGAGGCAUGCGCCGUGAAGAAUAGUGGCGUAAAAUCAGAAAUGCCGGCAAUAGGAAAUUUACGGGAAACAUUAAUAAAUACGUGUAAGCACACAGUAUAUAAGUUUAGCUUAAAGUGCUUUGUUUUGUACGUGAGGCAGCGUGGGAAGCCUCCGUACCCGGGUCGGUUUUGUGUGUGAGGUGGGGUAACGAGCCCUCCCCGUACCCUGGUCGGUUUUGCUUAUGCUUUAAUCAUACUUAAUUACUCGCACAUUAUAUAUAUAAAUUGUAAUUUUUAAUAAAUUGUAUUCUUUUACUAAACUGUA